rnacentral:snRNA from 1 species
GAUUAACGAGAUUCCCAC